CUGUGCUGCAUGCACCAGCCAAUCCUAACAACUCUUCGCCAUAAUGGUUCCACAGCACAAGAAAUUUCCCAUUACAAGGCAGGUGA